GUCAACGGAGAGGUUUUUUUGUGAAUAUAUUGACAAGUUUAAGACAAAAGUGAUAAUUCGUAAACUUGCGAGAUAGAUCAUGACUUCCGUCCCGUCGUGGGGAUAUAAAACUCCAAUCGGGGUAUGUAACACCGUAUUUGUACACAAGAGUUAAAACGCGAGGCAACAUGAUGAACUAUCUUUUGUUUGCUGUCUUUGUUCUUUGUUUGUUGAGAGGAUGUUCAGGAUACGAAUGUUUUUAUGAUGACAAAGUGGGUUAUGGAAUAACAGCUGACACCAGACUCUUUUACAAACUAGUUGACACCAUCGAGAUAUGCGAGGCUAUGUGUGAGGCCUCGGAAGAGUGUACCGUUUACAGGUACGAGAGGUUUGGUUGUCAUCUGUUGCAGAGACCGGUUUUAGAUCGACAGGUCGUGGAUGAUCUGGAUGAAUGUAAGGAGGCAUGUGAAGCUCACGACGAAUGCAAUCUACUUCAGAUUGUUUAUUCUGAAUAUGAAGGAAACGUCUGUUGGUUGUAUUCUUAUUCAGACAUCAAACCAACGAUAUACCACAACGACGUGGUCAGCAUCAAAAGUUGUCUUAAAUAAAUAACCAAUAAUCAAGAUAAUCCGUGCAAUAACAAUUCUUUGGUUCAGAUUAUUGUUUUGUGUAACAUUUCGUUCAAAUUGAUGUAAAUGUCAAGCAGUCUUUUGUAAAUAAAUUAAUUCAUUUUCUA